rnacentral:lncRNA from 1 species
GGAGAUGCAGGUCGCUGGUGGCAGCUCAAGCAGGCCACCCUACCCAUUUCAGUCACUUGGGAAUAGUUCCUGAUGACCUUCAAUAUAGAGUACCUCCCAGAGCACCUCCGGUAUCUGAAAGAAAUGGAGUUUGCACACCUAGUCCAUGGUGACUGUGUCAGAGAAUAUCCAAAGGUUCCUAGAGUUGGGCUGGUAUUUUCCUGAGAGCAUGAUGGAUGAAGGCAGAAAGACAAAGAAGUUUAAGUGGGGCAUUUGUGAGAUUAGACAACAUCUGUACAUGUUCGAGCUCAGUACUUACUCAAGCAUUCUGGCUAAGGUACAACCAGUGGAGAAGAACUUUUGCAUAUUUUCUUUAGCAGUGGGGAAUUCCAUACUCCAAUUUCACACUACAGA